rnacentral:tRNA from 2 species
GUGGCUGUAGCUCAAUUGGUAGAGUGUCGGACUGUGGAUCCGAAUGUUGUGGGUUCAAGCCCCACCAGCCACCCCA